rnacentral:rRNA from 1 species
AUUGAACGCUGGCGGUAUGCUUAACUCAUGCAAGUCGAGCGGUAACAGGCCUAGCUUGCUAGGUGCUGACGAGUGGCGGACGGGUGAGUAACGCGUAGGAAUCUGCCUUAUUGUGGGGGAUAACCUGGGGAAACUCAGGCUAAUACCGCAUGAGCCCUUAGGGGGAAAGGAUGGGACCGAAAGGCCAUUCGCGAUAAGAUGAGCCUGCGUUGGAUUAGCUAGUUGGUGGGGUAAAAGCCUACCAAGGCGAGGAUCCAUAGCUGGUCUGAGAGGAAGAUCAGCCACACUGGGACUGAGACACGGCCCAGACUCCUACGGGAGGCAGCAGUGGGGAAUAUUGGACAAUGGGGGCAACCCUGAUCCAGCAAUGCCGCGUGUGUGAAGAAGGCCUGCGGGUUGUAAAGCACUUUCAGUGGGGAGGAAGAGCUCGGUGCUAAUAGUAUCGAGUUGAGACGUUACCCACAGAAGAAGCACCGGCUAACUCUGUGCCAGCCGCCGCCGUAA